rnacentral:rRNA from 1 species
CAGUCGCCACGGGAAUACGGAGGGGGCUAGCGUUGUUCGGAAUUACUGGGCGUAAAGGGCGCGUAGGCGGCCAUUCAAGUUAGAUGUGAAAGCCCUGGGCUCAACCUAGGAAUUGCAUUUGAUACUGUUUGGCUUGAGUUCGGGAGAGGUGAGUGGAAUUUCCGGUGUAGCGGUGAAAUGCGUAGAUAUCGGAAGGAACACCUGUGGCGAAAGCGGCUCACUGGACCAUUUCUGACGCUGAUGCACGAAAGCUAGGGGAGCAAACAGGAUUAGAUACCCGCGUAGUCCCUGUCUAUUAUAC